CUGCUCCUGCGGCAUUCGAUCGAAGUCAGGAUUUUUUGAACCGAUAAUUUUUUGAACGGGGUGAGUCCCUGGCAGCGGUGAGCUUCCUUUCAGGAGGAAGCCUAAAGCUCCCAACACUUUCCCCACCUAGCUAAGCUGGGUUCAAAACACGACGAAGAACGGUGCAGGUGGGAGCAGU
rnacentral:other from 1 species